GCAAUAAGUAAGCAAAAGCAUCUGAUGCCAACACAGCCUUCAAGUGCCAGCUCUCAGCCAUUUUUUCCAGUACCAGUUAUUCCAUUCUUUUAAAAACACCACUAUCCCUUCGCCACCUUGUAUCAUAACUUGUUAUUCUAAUUCCUUUUUUACGGUGGUGAACCGCAGUUAUAAAAAGGGGAGGUUCAGAAGCAGCCUAUAGUCAUAAUCGCGCAAUAAAUUUUUCGUAUCUUUGAGAAACCAGAAUUUAGAGAAGUAUGGCAUCCAUGAAGGCUAAAGUGCAACUCGGCAGCCAACUGUCCGGACAGGGCAAGAAAGAACCUGCAGUUGCCAAGGCUGGUGAUGGCGGAGCCAAAGCACCGGUAUCUAAGGCCGCCCCAAAGAAAGCUGCAGCCGCACCGAAGGCUCCCGCACCCAAGAAGGGUAAAGACGGCAAAGCUGCAGCAAAGAAGUGACCAAAGCAUACAGAAAAAGGGAACGAUUUCUUUUCGUUUUCUCAUGGUAACUUUGAUCUAAUCCAUGUAAAGCCAUCCCAAUGAAAUAAAAACUCACGUUUAGCUAUA